GUCCUGGCCCUAAACGUUGGGUACUAGGUAGUAGACUAGACAUGGGUUUACUUCCGAAGCAAAAGUGCUAAGUACCCCGCCUGGGGAGUAUGGUCGCAAGGCUGAAACUCAAAGGAAUUGACGGGGGCUCACACAAGCGGUGGAGCAUGUGGCUUAAUUCGAGGCAACGCGAAGAACCUUACCUAGGCUUGACAUGUGCGAAAGCGUCUGGGGGUAGUCGCCGGAAACGGCCGACGAAGGUAUCCAAUCCUGAACCAGACACAGGUGCUGCAUGGCUGUCGU
rnacentral:rRNA from 1 species